rnacentral:rRNA from 1 species
AGAGUUUGAUCCUGGCUCAGGAUGAACGCUAGCUACAGGCUUAACACAUGCAAGUCGAGGGGCAGCAUGACCUAGCAAUAGGUUGAUGGCGACCGGCGCACGGGUGAGUAACACGUAUCCAACCUACCGGUUAUUCCGGGAUAGCCUUUCGAAAGAAAGAUUAAUACCGGAUAGUAUAGCGAGAAGGCAUCUUCUUGUUAUUAAAGAAUUUCGAUAACCGAUGGGGAUGCGUUCCAUUAGUUUGUUGGCGGGGUAACGGCCCACCAAGACAUCGAUGGAUAGGGGUUCUGAGAGGAAGGUCCCCCACAUUGGAACUGAGACACGGUCCAAACUCCUACGGGAGGCAGCAGUGAGGAAUAUUGGUCAAUGGGCGAUAGCCUGAACCAGCCAAGUCGCGUGAAGGAAGACGGCCUUACAGGUUGUAAACUUCUUUUAUCGGAGAGUAAAGUGCACUACGUGUAGUGUAUUGCAAGUAUCCGAAGAAAAAGCAUCGGCUAACUCCGUGCCAGCAGCCGCGGUAAUACGGAGGAUGCAAGCGUUAUCCGGAUUUAUUGGGUUUAAAGGGUGCGUAGGCGGAAUUCCAAGUCAGCGGUGAAAUCUCCAUGCUCAACAUGGACACUGCCGUUGAAACUGGCGUUCUAGAGUGUAAAUGAGGUAGGCGGAAUGCGUGGUGUAGCGGUGAAAUGCAUAGAUAUCACGCAGAACUCCGAUUGCGAAGGCAGCCUGCUGGGAUACAACUGACGCUGAGGCACGAAAGCGUGGGUAUCGAACAGGAUUAGAUACCCUGGUAGUCCACGCAGUAAACGAUGAAUACUAACUGUUUGCGAUACAAUGUAAGCGGUACAGCGAAAGCGUUAAGUAUUCCACCUGGGGAGUACGCCGGCAACGGUGAAACUCAAAGGAAUUGACGGGGGCCCGCACAAGCGGAGGAACAUGUGGUUUAA